rnacentral:rRNA from 1 species
GGGUUGUGAGGUUAAGCGACCAAGCGUACACGGUGGAUGCCCUGGCAGUCAGAGGCGAUGAAGGACGUGCUAAUCUGCGAAAAGCGCCGGUAAGGUGAUAUGAACCGUUAUAACCGGCGAUGUCCGAAUGGGGAAACCCAGUGUGACUCGUCACACUAUCAUUAACUGAAUCCAUAGGUUAAUGAGGCGAACCGGGGGAACUGAAACAUCUAAGUACCCCGAGGAAAAGAAAUCAACCGAGAUUCCCCCAGUAGCGGCGAGCGAACGGGGAGGAGCCCAGAGCCUGAAUCAGCAUGUGUGUUAGUGGAAGCGUCUGGAAAGGCGCGCGAUACAGGGUGAGAGCCCCGUACACAAAAGCGCACAUGCUGUGAGCUCGAUGAGUAGGGCGGGACACGUGGUAUCCUGUCUGAAUAUGGGGGGACCAUCCUCCAAGGCUAAAUACUCCUGACUGACCGAUAGUGAACCAGUACCGUGAGGGAAAGGCGAAAAGAACCCCGGCGAGGGGAGUGAAACAGAACCUGAAACCGUGUACGUACAAGCAGUGGGAGCCUCUCUUUAUGGGGGGUGACUGCGUACCUUUUGUAUAAUGGGUCAGCGACUUAUAUUCUGUAGCAAGGUUAACCGCAUAGGGGAGCCGAAGGGAAACCGAGUCUUAAUUGGGCGUUAAGUUGCAGGGUAUAGACCCGAAACCCGGUGAUCUAGCCAUGGGCAGGUUGAAGGUUGGGUAACACUAACUGGAGGACCGAACCGACUAAUGUUGAAAAAUUAGCGGAUGACCUGUGGCU